rnacentral:rRNA from 1 species
UACAGAGGUCCCAAGCGUUGUUCGGAUUCAUUGGGCGUAAAGGGUGCGUAGGUGGCGCCGUAAGUCAGGUGUGAAAUUUCGGGAGCUUAACUCCGAAACUGCAUUUGAUACUGCGGUGCUUGAGGACUGGAGAGGAGACUGGAAUUCACGGUGUAGCAGUGAAAUGCGUAGAUAUCGUGAGGAAGACCAGUGGCGAAGGCGGGUCUCUGGACAGUUCCUGACACUGAGGCACGAAGGCCAGGGGAGCAAACGGG